UGGGGAAUUUUGGACAAUGGGCGCAAGCCUGAUCCAGCAAUGCCGCGUGCAGGAUGAAGGCCUUCGGGUUGUAAACUGCUUUUGUACGGAACGAAAAGACUCUCUCUAAUACAGGGGGUUGAUGACGGUACCGUAAGAAUAAGCACCGGCUAACUACGUGCCAGCAGCCGCGGUAAUACGUAGGGUGCAAGCGUUAAUCGGAAUUACUGGUCGUAAAGCGUGCGCAGGCGGUUAUGUAAGACAGAUGUGAAAUCCCCGGGCUCAACCUGGGAACUGCAUUUGUGACUGCAUAGCUAAGGUACGGUAGAGGGGGAUGGAAUUCCGAGUGUAGCAGUGAAAUGCAUAGAUAUGCGGAGGAACACCGAUGGCGAAGGCAAUCCCCUGGACCUGUACUGACGCUCAUGCACGAAAGCUUGGGGAGCAAAC
rnacentral:rRNA from 1 species